CCUACGGGAGGCAGCAGUUUCGAAUCGUUCACAAUGGGGGCAACCCUGAUGGCGCGACGCCGCGUGGGGGAUGAAGGUCUUCGGAUUGUAAACUCCUGUCAUUGGGGACUAACGGCCAGGCUCAUACCCUGGUUUGAAUUAACCCAAAGAGGAAGCAGUGGCUAACUCUGUGCCAGCAGCCGCGGUAAUACAGAGACUGCAAGCGUUACUCGGAUUCACUGGGCGUAAAGGGAGCGCAGGCGGAUUAGUGUGUCAGGCGUGAAAUCCCGGGGCUCAACCCCGGUACCGCGCCCGAAACUACUAAUCUAGAGACUUGGAGGGGUAAGCGGAAUUCUUGGUGGAGCAGUGAAAUGCGUAGAUAUCAAGAGGAACACCAACGGCGAAGGCAGCUUACUGGACAAGAUCUGACGCUCAGGCUCGAAAGCGUGGGGAGCAAAAGGGAUUAGAUACCCCUGUAGUCCACGCUGUAAACGGUGCGCAUUAGGUCUUGGAGCUUUCGAACGCUCCAGGGCUCAAGCUAACGCAUUAAAUGCGCCGCCUGAGGACUACGGCCGCAAGGCUAAAACUCAAAUGAAAUUGACGG
rnacentral:rRNA from 1 species